CAUCGCCGCUGCGCCACUUCGUACGUUGCCUCCGCGGCCCUCUAUCGCCGUUGUCCUGCCGCUAAACAAUCUAGGCCGCAAGCAAAUCACGGAUCACCGCUCGCUCCAUCCCCGCCGCCGUCCUCCCGCAUCCGCUGCCUCCAUCCUCGCUGCCAUCUCAGGUCGACACCGUCGUCCUCGCGGACCACCGCACCACUCUCGCCGUCGCCCCUCUGUGUCGCCGCUGUCCCAGCCGAGUGCAGAGCGGCGCGCGCCGCAUGCGCACCGCGUUCGGAGCGACACGCGGACCUCCCCUCGACACGUAAUGGCAGCCUGCCUCCCCCUCACAAUAGCCUGAGCCCUCCCCCCUCGAAACGGGACCCCUGAGCCCUCCCCCCAGCCCCCUCGAAACGGGACGCCGGCCUUCGCCCUCGAAACAAACCGCCGACCUCCCAGGGAGGUUGCUGCAGCUGCAGAGAACACCCACGAGAAGGACAAGACGCGCCCCCACCGCUGGAGCUCGAGACCAGGCCGCGAGCACAUCGAUGAUGCUCAUCCUCACAGCAUCCCAGGAUCACAAGGAAAUGUGAAAUGAUAGAAGCCAAUUACGAUUAGAUUGAUUGGAGUAGAGAAAAAGAGAGAUACAUGGAGUAUUUUCAGACAACAAGGAAUCCAUAUCUGAUUCAUAGGCGCUCUACAGCGACACACUUUCAGAGUGAAAGUGAUGAAAUGCGGAAACUUAAUGGGUAUGCAUGCAGUCUCCUAUCCUUCUACCUGAUGGAUGAGAGUUCAAAUGAUGAUAAUAUCCAAAUAUUCUUGCCUAAUGGAGAGAAGUAGAAGGAUAGAGCUGAUCAGCAGUCCACAAAAAGCAACUUUGUGAAUGAGGAAAGUAACCGGUGGGAGGAACUUAUAUGGAGGCAGAUUACAGUGGCAAAAUGAUUUUGCUCCUUGAUAUCUUGUCAAAAAGUACUGAGUUGUGCGACAAGGUAUUAGUGUUCAGCCAGAGCUUGACACACACACACACACACACACAUAGAGGGAGAUAGAUUGAUAUUAAUUACGUAGGUAGCUGCGGGCGGGCGUGGUCGAAGGGGUCGUCGUGCGGCAGCAGGUCAGCGGUGCGCAGGGUGGUGAAGAGCAUGAGCGCGAGGGUGACGGCCACGGACAGCACGGCGAGCGCCAGCAUGAGUCCGUUGGCCGCCGCCUGCCGCACCUCCUGCGCGUACUCGGCGGACGCCAGCGCCAGCACGCUCAGAGGGAAGGAGUAGGCCCACCACGCCACGCUGAACCGCCGCAUCGCGCGCUUGAACAACGCCGGACGGGAAACCUGCAAUGCAAACCAACGAAUUAAUUAACACCUGCUGCUUUCAUUAUUUAUAUUAUUAUAAUA